UGUAGGCCUUUUCCUACGCUGGGAAGUUAGGAUUUACUGUGGGUCCCAAGUUUGCGCCCCAUCGGACUUACGUAGAAAAUGAAGUAAACGUUAGAGAAAGAGAGUUUUUAGCCAUAGAGUGUUAAAACAUAAAAGCAAAUAUUUUUUUUUUUUCGAGACAGGGUAUCUCUUGUAGCUUUGGAGCCUACCCUAAAACUAGCUCUUGUAGACCAGGCUGGCCUCGAACUCACAGAGAUCCGCCUGCCUCUGCCUCCCGAGUGCUGGGCUUAAGGGCGUGCGCCACCACCGCCCGGCUUAAUUUUUAAAAUAUAUCCAAGUUGCUGGCUUUAACAGCAUCUUUCCAGAAAAUUGGCUUUUGAGAUUAUUUCGGACAGAAAAUGAAAUUGAAUAUUGGCGGAAAACGUUACUUCAUUGAAGACUCAUUUCUUACCUGAAUACAUUGUAAAAAUAUCAGACCACUGAAGAGCCUGAAGUAAAAUUCUUGGUUGGAUGUGUAGCUCAAGGGACCAUUCCGUGCUCCUACGCAAAGGUUGGCAUUCAACACCAUUAUCCACACAGAGGGCUAGCGGCCAUGAUGAAAGAGUAGACGCAAUAGGCUGCAGACCGCUGGAGCAGCACAGGAGCGCUCACCGCUGGAGCCACAAAAGGAAGCUGACAGAGCUAACUUGAGCCUUCUCAUCCUCUUGAGCAAACCGAUGCUUGGCCAAGCUGGAUAUGGUGAUGCCCUUCAGCAAUCCCAGCACUCCAGAGACCAAGGGAGGAUUACUGCGGGUUCAAACCCAGCCUGGGCUACAUAAUGAGACCACAGCUCAAAAACAAAUAAAACUCCAUGAAAUCCCCUCCCACACACUGAAGUCACAGUUUAAAAAAAAAAGAAGCGAGUUCAUCAUUCAUCGGCAGGGCCUCACUGACCGGUGCUAUGGGGCAGCAGUCAAGGGAGAGAGAGUCAUAAUUGGUAAAAAUGCUGUGAAUAAAAGACUGAGUGCUUAGCCCUAAACAGGACAUCUCUUAUCAAGUGUCGUCUCUCACCGUGACCAAGGUUUGGGGACUAUCUCAGAGGCAGAGGCAGAAAGUGUGCAAGCCUGAGAAUGGAGACGAACAUGUGAGAUUGUGGCCUAGCUGUCACACUCCUGUGUGACACUCAUGUGAACCACACACGGUUGUGGUUCCCUGCAGAAGAUCAAGCUAGAUAGGGUUCCAUCAUAGAUGCGGCACAUGGUCUCCAGGCCCCAUCCCUUGUGAAGAGUGAAUGUGUUGUUGGCACAGGCAAUGUCAAGGAUGCUGAUGCUCUCAGGCCCACAGGAAUGGAAAGGCCUUCCCUGGUCCAAGUACUGAUGUCGACAGUGUAUGCAGAAAGUAUCAGCUACAGUUUCCUCCUAGAUGAUGGCGUCAUGACACCGCUUCCCUAUAGGAACCCUCUGCAUGGAGACCAGCUAGCCCACACCCUCCACCAGCUGUACAUAAUAAACCCGCCUCCACCUGCCUCCUCUUUGAACUCUGUGUAAAUGAUGUGCUGAGUUUCUGGCUGUGAGUGCCGCUCCAUCGCAGCACACAGCCCACUCAAUUCCUUUUCUGUACCGUAUAUCGACCAUUUCUUCAUUCUCUGUUACCCCAGCCAGGUCAGUCCUAAAGCCAUGCAGGUGUGGACGUCCUUUACUGAAGCACUAGAGGCAGUUGAUAGUUGCUGGGGGAGGGUGAAUCAAUUUCUCUCUCUCGUGGCCAUCAGUAGAAAUUAAAUUUCCUGUCCUGUGGAUAGUCUAUGCACAAAUGCGGAGAAUCAACUGGAUUUAGUGGUUUUAGAAACAUUUUAAGACAUGGAAUUCAGAGAAGGACCUGUUGAGAGGGAUGUGGAGAAAGUUGGAGGUGGGAAAAAAAAAUUCAAACAAAAAUUUCA